AUUGAACGCUGGCGGCAGGCCUAACACAUGCAAGUCGAACGAGUGGCGGACAGGUGAGUAAUGUCUGGGAAACUGCCUGAUGGAGGGGGAUAACGACUGGAAACGGUAGCUAAUAACGCAUACCAUAAGCAGUGACACGAUGGGAUUAGAUAGUUGGUGGGGUAACGGCUCAACAAGGCGACGAUCCCUAGCGAGUCGGAGAGGAUGACCAGCCACACUGGAACUGAGACACGGUCCAGACUCCUACGGGAGGCAGCAGUGGGGAAUAUUGCACAAUGGGCGCAAGCCUGAUGCAGCCAUGCCGCGUGUAUGAAGAAGGCCUUCGGGUUGUAAAGUACUGUCAGCGGGGAGGCGUUACCCGCAGAAGAAGCACCGGCUAACGCCGUGCCAGCAGCCGCGGUAAUAC
rnacentral:rRNA from 1 species